rnacentral:lncRNA from 1 species
UUGUGUGGCGGCGCCACCCCUGUCCCCAUGGAAUAUGGUGGCUCCAUUCCUGUCCCCUCCCCCUGGCACCGUGUCCCGGUGGUAUGUGGCAGUGCCACUCCUGUCCCCAUGUCCCCCUGCUGUGUGGCAGUGCCAUCCCUGUCCCUGUGUCCCCAAGAUGAGGGGGGGCUCCAGCCCUGUCCCUGUGUCCCCAUGCUGUGUGGCAGUGCCACCCCUGGGACCGUGUCCUCAAGAUGAGGCGGGGCUCCAGCCCUGUCCCCAUGUCCCCACGCUGCAUAGCAGUGCCAUCCCUGUCCCUGUGUCCCUCUACUGUGUGACAGUGCCACCCCUGGGACUGUGUCCCCACGCUGUGUGGGGGCUCCAGCCCUGUCCCCAUGUCCCCAUACUGUGUGGCAGUGCCACCGCUGUCCCCAUGUCCCCACGCUGUGUUACAGUGCCACCCCUGGGACCGUGUCCCCACACUGGGGGGGGGGGCUCCAGCCCUGUCCCCGUGUCCCCAUGCUGCGUGGCAGUGCCAUCCCUGUCCCCACCCCUGUCCCUCUGUCCCCAUGGCAUGUGGUGGUACCACCCCUGUCCCCAUGUCCCUCUGCUACAUGGCAGUGCCACCCCUGUCCCCACGCUGUGUGGCAGUGCCAUCCCUGUCCCCGUGUCCCCAUGGCAUCUGGUGACGCCACCCUUGUCCCCAUGUCCCCCACGCCACGUGGCAGUACCAGGUUCUCCCAUCACCCCACUCCCCCCACUCCGGACCCCCUGUUGGUCCCCUCUGACCCCUUCUGGGGGGCUGGUGACAGCUCUGUCCCCAUGUCCCCAUGCUCAGUGGUGGCUUCACCCCUUUCCCUGCAUCCUAAUGCUCCAAGGUGAUGCCACCUCUGUCCCCACGUCCCCCACACAGUGUGGCCGUGCCAGCCUCUCCCACCACCCCACUCCCCCCACUCCGGACCCCCCGUUGGUCCCCUCUAACCCCUUCUGGGGGCUGGUGACACCUCUGUCCCCAUGUCCCCAUGCUCAGUGGUGGCUUCACCCCUUUCCUUGUAUCCUAAUGCUUUGAGGUGACGCCGCCCUUGUCCCCACGUCCCCCACGCCACAUGGCUGUGCCAGCCUCUCCCACCACCCCACUCCCCCCACUCCGGACCCCCCGUUGGUCCCCUCUGACCCCUUCUGGGGGGCUUGGUGACAGCCCUGUCCCCAGCCUGGAGCAGAUGCUGGCCGCCAACCCCGGGAAGACGCCCAUCAGCCUCCUGCAGGAAUAUGGCACUCGCAUAGGCAAGACCCCCGGCUACGACCUCCUGAAGGCCGAGGGACAAGCCCACCAGCCCAACUUCACCUUCCGUGUCACCGUUGGGGACAUCAGCUGCACCGGUGGGUCCUUGUCACCUUCUCU